rnacentral:lncRNA from 1 species
GCACAUAGAGAGUCGGAGAAAGAGCAAUAGAAAACCAUUCGACUACAAUAGAGAAUUGAUAGAGCUAGGAGGCAUUGAUAUGAACCAAACAUGAAAGGGCUGAAAGCAGAGACGAUGUAAGUGCGUAAAUCACAAAUAACGAUUUAUACAUCAUAUCCAUUGCAAUUUACCAAAUAAUCUCUCUUUAUUCACCUUCCUAACACUCUAGAUAUCCGUCAAAUUUAUACUUACCCAUAAAUAAAAUCAGUUGAAAAACCAAACUACAAAAUCCUCCAUUUCGGUUCAACAGAGCAUGUGAUAUUGAAUUCAAGAAGUAACUUAACAUGUACACACCAAUUCAUUUCAACCACAACAAAGCAAUUAAUAGUGAAACGGUCAUCCAUUUAAACCAAACUCACUGAAAACAAGCAUUAUGAGAUAGAGAAUUCGCCAAACCAUAUCAUGUUCUAGAGUUAAUAAUAAAAUCAAACAUUAAACAAACCAAACCAUAUUCUUAUUGCAUGAUCAAAUAGAAGAAAUGAAGCUUGAACCAACUGACCGGAUCAGGACCAACGACGGCAACCUCGAAACGUCAAUAAUUGGCUCCAAACAGAUCCCACAAUGAGUUCCAAAAUGGACUCAAACUAACGAAAACUUCAACAGCAGAAAAUGUGGCUCACGACCACCCAGAUAUUGAACUACAGAAAAGGAGGAAGCGAGGGAUCAAGAGAAGGAACGUCGAUUUCGACCGAAACCUAAUAGUCCGUGAAGUAUGAAAGCUGUGAAAUUGCAAGGCUUUUUCAGCGAGCUUGCCGGACAGGAAAUGGAAAAAUGGUUGAUUCUCUGCUUCAAUGGUUAGGACCUGCCGCUGCUCAAGAUUAACGAAGAUGGGGGAGGGCGUUCUUGGUCUUGUCUGCUGUUAGCUCUAGCUAAGGGUCCUUUUUUGUUUCUUGCUUCUUCAAGAAGAUCGAUAGGGGGGGGGGGGUGUUGUUGUUGUUCAACGUCUGAAGAAAAUCCUGAACGGGAGGGGGGGAGUCUUGGUUUGAUCGAAGCGGCCAGUCUCUUCGGUCUAGGGGCCUAAGGUGUAUAGGUCUAGGUUUUUUAAGAAGAAUAAGGAUCCGAGUCUUGGGUGUGGGGUCGGGUCAACCCGAUCUGGGCUGGGUUGGGUGAAAAUUUGGGCUUUUAAAAUGUUUGGCCCAAUUGAAUUUAAAACCAGCCUUUUCCAUUUUCUUUUUUUUUGUUUUCUUUUCUUUCUUUAAUUAAUUAAAAACCUAAAUUAAAUUCCUAAAUUAAUUCAAAUUAUAAAAUUAAGCUAAUUAUCUAACCAUAAUAUUUAUAAAAAUUAGGUGAUCCUAAAUUAAAAGAAAAAACUUAAUAAUCCAAAAUUAAAAGCUAAGAAUGUAAAAAUGAGCCAUUUUUGUGAUUUUUAUUUUUAAUAAAAUAAUUAAUUAAUUAAUUAAUCCUAACAUGUGAACACAAAAUCUGAAUGCAAUACAUGGUAUUAUUGGUAUUUUCAUGAUUUUAAUAAAAAUAAACAUGCACAGAAAUGCAAACAAUUAACACAAAUUUCUACAAAAAUCCUAUAAAAUUGAAAAUAAUUGGGAAAAAUUUAUUUCUUUAAUUUGUGGGAGUAUUUCACAUAGGGCAAAAAUUAUGUGCUCACAACUGCCCCUCUUUGUUUGGAAACACGAAGAUUUUUCGGGCAAAGAUAAAGUGAGCGGAUACGAGUGAUUUUUGCCCGUUUGAAUACUCUGUGGGAGGCAUUUUUGAAAGAUCUGACUGAACCCUGCUUCCGAGGUUGCCUGCAUAUCCUUGGCUAUAAAAGAAUCAUGUCAGUGUAGUUCGGGAAAAUGAGGAUGAGAUGAGUUAGAGAGUCGAGUGAGGUACCGUUCCGUCGAGGUUCCGGUCUGCGGUCCUAUUAUUACAUCAAAAAUCAAGAUUCAAAAGACUAACUAAGCCUAUCAGCUACGAGUUACAAGAUUCCUAUCUAUGAGUCUUCUGAAGCUUGAUCUUGAGUCUUGGUUGGUUCUUCAUGCAGACUUUAGAUUUGAACCUUGAGGCUUGCUAGCUGCAGGUGCUAGUUCAUUCUUCUUCGGAUCAAGACCGGACACACUGUGCUUGUGAUUUCAGUCAUGUAUUGAGCAAUCCACCUCUUGUCUCAGCUUCUGCAUUUUGGAUUCACUUCUCUUUUCUUUUUUUUCUUUUUUUUUAAUCAUGGAUUGAGAUUACUUCUGUUGAUCAUCUCAGAUUGUUGACUUGCAUUCUUGCCGCGAGCUUCUGCUACUUCUAAAUCGAAUGGAAUUCUGAAAUGACUUCCCUUGUUCUCCAGGUGGGGCACCUGCUACUGACUUGAAACUUUAAAUAAUUCCAAAACGAAUUCCCUUGUUCUCCAGGUGGGUGCCUGCAAUCAAAACAAACAAAAUUUUCUACCCCAGUUUGCACUCGGAAGAUUUGUGAGUUGUUAACAAAACUGUAAACCACUUAUGCUUUGAUGCAAUGAUGAAAGUAAACUAGAGACUCGACUAGGAUGUGCAUCUUCUAUGAGUAAAACCAAGAAACUUUGACCAGCAAAUGCGUCUGCUAAAAAUAAAAACCGAAUGACCCAGAUCAGAAAAUGCGUCUCCUACGGGUGAUACUUGAAUGAAUCAAACUAGGAAGUGCGUUUCCUAGGGGAGGAAUCUCAAUUUAGGAAGUGUGUCUACUAAAACAAAAUAUAACUUGAAAGAUCCUGACUAUGAAGUGCGUCUCCUAAUGGGUAGAACUUAAAUAACUCAAACUAGGAAGUGCGUCUCCUAAGAAUGAACUUAAAUGAACCAAAAGGGAAGUGUGUCUCCUAAAACAAACAUAUAACCUGAAAACCCAGACUAGGAACUGCGUCUCCUAUAGGUGAAACUUCAAUGACUCAAACUAGGAAGUGCGUCUCCUACGAAUGAACUCUUAAUUUAGGAAGUGUGUCUCAUAUGGGUGAAACUUCAAUGACUCAAACUAGGAAGUGAUCCUAUGAAUGAACUCUCAAUUUAGGAAGUGUGUCUCCUACAGAUGUAUCCUGAAAGACCUAGACUAGGAAGUGCUUCUCCUAGGGGUGAAACUUCAAUGACUCAAACUAGGAAGUGCGUCUCCUACGAAUGAACUCUCAAUUUAGGAAGUGCAUCUCCUAUGGGUGAAACUUCAAUGACUCAAACUAGGAAGUGCGUCUCCNANNNNNNNNNNNNNNNNNNNNNNNUUAAUGACUCAAAUCAGGAAGUGUGUCUCCUAUGAAUGAACUCUCAAUUUAGGAAGUGUGUCUCCUAAAAGUAUAAUCUGAAAGACCCCUACUAGGAAGUGUGUCUCCUAAUGUUUAAAACUUCAAUGACUCCAACUAGGACGUGUGUCUCCUAAGGAUGAAUUUAAAUGCCCAAAACUAGGAAGUGCGUCUCAUAGGGGUGGAAUAUCAAUUUAGGAAGUGCGUCUCCUAAAACAAAAGUAUAAUUUUAAAGACCCAAACUAGGAAGUGCGUCUCCUAAUGGUAAAAUCUCAAUGGAGGAAAUGUGUCUCCUAUAAUAAAAUAUAACUUGAAAACCCAGAGUAAGAAGUGCUUCUCCUAGUGGUGAUGUGUGAUAUUCUCAAUAGUCUUUGCGUAAGCAGAAUUGGGGUAUUACACCUGAAUAUUUCAAGCUUCCAAGCUUUGAUAUGAACAUAACUUUCGUCCCUGUUUCAAACAAAAAAAACUUGUGAGUUUAAACAUGGUGGUUGGUUUGUGGCCUUGACUUUGAGGACGAUUGCUCCUUCACUUGCCAUGAUAACUUUGAUUUCACCAUGAAAGACAUUGCUUGCUUAUUGACUAACCACUUUCUCUGUCACCCUUAUCACAGAAAAUACCUCAGAUUCAUUCAAACUCAAUACCAUCUACCUGUUGUAUUUUGCUCAUGAAUUGAUAUUUACCGAACCUUUGUAUUUCACAUGAAUCCCAAAGCACGUUGAUUGUUACCAACUCAGUGCGCAUACUGUUCUUUCAUAACUUAUGUUGCUUUGAUGUGCUAGCCAGACUCUGCUUUGUGAAAUUGGAAAGCUAGUGGCAAAUUUUAAAUUCAUUUCUCACUUGUUCUGACCAACAGACUCAAGAAGAGGAAGUAAACAAAACAAAAAGAACAGAGUACGGGACAAUNNNNNNNNNNNNNNNNNNNNNNNNNNNNNNNNNNNNNNNNNNNNNNNNNNNNNNNNNNNNNNNNNNNNNNNNNNNNNNNNNNNNNNNNNNNNNNNNNNNNNNNNNNNNNNNNNNNNNNNNNNNNNNNNNNNNNNNNNNNNNNNNNNNNNNNNNNNNNNNNNNNNNNNNNNNNNNNNNNNNNNNNNNNNNNNNNNNNNNNNNNNNNNNNNNNNNNNNNNNNNNNNNNNNNNNNNNNNNNNNNNNNNNNNNNNNNNNNNNNNNNNNNNNNNNNNNNNNNNNNNNNNNNNNNNNNNNNNNNNNNNNNNNNNNNNNNNNNNNNNNNNNNNNNNNNCAAGUCUAAAGUUCAACUCUUGUUGUACCUUUGAGUCGUGAAACUGGCCUUCAAUGCUCUAUCCCAUCUGAUUCACGAUCCUUAUUCGACUUGUAGUGCCCGAAGGGUUUUCACCAUCAAGCCUCUUUCAUUUUGUUCUUUCUCUCAACUUACCGUUGCCUUAUGGUGCCUGUGAAGGUUUUCACUGAUAAGACUCUCUCAUUUUCUGUUUUCCUUGUGUAGAACAAAGUGUUGCCCCUGAUGAGAAUCAUACCUCUAACUCGCUUGACUUGGCACUACUCAAAGAUUGAUCAGAAGGUCUUUCUUUGGAUCGUAAUGUAGGUUUUUGGAUAGGAUUAAAAACAAAGGGUAUCAUAAAGGCUCAAAAAUAUCUUAAAAGGGCUCAAAAUUACAACUUUUGGAAUCAGAUCUCUUACAACAACCACAACUUCUGCCCCAGUUUCUUUGCUUGGGACUUUUGAAAUUUUAUUUUGAUGGGACCGAACCAUGAGGCUGCUUCCGUAUUUUUAAAAGGAAUCAGGUCGAACGUAGUUCAUGACAUAGGAAUUGCUUUGUUUUUGUACUUUUCUCUCUUUUUUCUUUUUCUUUUUUUUCUUUUCUUUUCUUUACUCUUUUCCCAUUUUUUCUUUAUCUUUUUCUCUUCUCUUUUCCUCUUUUCUCUUUUUUUAUUCUGUAUUUAUAUUUCUAAACUCUGCUUCUGAUUCCAAAAGAGGAAUAUGAAAGAAAAUAAAUAAGGCUCAAAGGGGGCAACAAAGGAUAAAGUGUUUAGAUAGAAAAAUAAAAUGUCUUCGUCAUUCCAAUCUUCAAAGCAUGCCAGAUACAAACAACACAAUUAAACAAACCAAAGAAAUCAUACAUAAUAUUUUUUGACUGCAUAAGAAUUGAUAACCAUAUCCAUACAUUUGCCUUUUACAUCUGUUAAAUACAAAGCACCAUUGGACAACGCUCUCAUUACCACGAACUGCCCCUGCCAAUUUGGGGCAAACUUGCCUUUAGCUUCAACUUGAUGCGGCAUGAUGCAUUUCAGUAGUGUUUCUUUAUGUUCUAUCUGUCCCAGUUUCACACAAUUCGGGCUUGAGGUGAUCUCAAAAUGCCUUUACUUAUUUCCCUCAAAAGUCCUUAUCAUCUUCAAAAAAAUUUCAUUGCUUCAUCACUAAACUAACUUUUAAGACCAGGCUGAGAAUUACGCGUGCAUGUCAUGUCACUAGAGUCAGCAGGAAAAGGACUAUAAAAGGGAAAGAGAACUACACAAACACUGACUAGAAAUAAUAGAAAACAGGAAAUUGCAUUAGACAGAUGGUGAAAGGGUUUGAACAACAAAACAAGUAAAAUAAGCUGGGGUUACAACCCUGGAAAAAAAACUAGACAACACUAAACGAGCUACUACGACUAAACAAACUAGGCAAAAUAAAAAGAUAGAAAGGUUGGAGUCACAAGACAAUAUCCGGAUUACAACCCUGAAAAUAACCCAGACAACAAAAAUGACAACAAAAUAAACCACCAAAACUCCUCCCCGUCUAACCAAAAAAUGGAGCGUCUUUCCAAUUACCAAGCACGACAUCUUAGCCACUGGGUUCCACAUCAAUAUUGCCAAGACCAUUACCAACUUCAAUAUCAUUAACUUUAGUCAGCAAGUUCCCAAGAGGAUUCGCAUGCUCCCUGUCACUGUCCUUGAUCACAAUUACCCCUUCUUGAAUCAUUCUUUCUAUUUCCCUUUUCAAAGCACGGCAAUCUUCAAUGCUAUUCCCUUGGACAUUAGAGUGGUACAUGAAUCGUACAGUAGGAUCAAAACCUUUUGCAUAUGGGUCUAGAGUAUAGCCGAGGAGUGGUUCAAUCAGGCCAUAAUGCUUUAACUUUUCAACAAGCUUGUGUAGGACUCCCCGAUUGGCGUGAAACUAUUUCUCUGCCAUUGUUCCCCUCCAUGCCCCUGUUUUCUAGGGUUUUUGGGUGCUCGAAAAUGUUGUGAAGGCAAGAGUGCCUUAUGCGGUGCUGGCGCUCGCCAUAAGGGGUGACUCGGUUGUUGGACAGAUGACCGAACAUUGUUCGGAGGAUAAUAUUGAGGUGGAUUAUAUGGAGCUCGGGGAUAGGUUUGGGAUUGGGGUUGAGGAUGAGUAUAUUGGUGACGCGGACCCGUUGGACCAUGUUCUGAUCCUGAGACAACCAUGGCAACAUCAUCAUGUUCUUUCUGACCCAUCAAACUCCCUGUGUCGUUCUGAAUUGCUUGUGUUGUGGCUUUUAAAGCAGAAUAGCUCAUGAUCUUGCUCGACUUCAUCCCAUCUUCUACCAUUUCCCCCAUUUUUACCACAUCAUUAAAAGGCCUACCCACAACCAAGAUCAAAUGCCCAAAGUAAGUUGGCUCUUGAGCUUGAAGAAAGUACUCGACCAUCUCGUUUUCUUUCAUCGGGGGAUUGAAUCUAGUAGCUUUAUAUCUCCAUCUGAGCUCAUAUUCCCUAAAGCUUUCAUUAGGCUUCUUUUCCAUAUUGGUGAGGGAUAUGCGAUCCAGGACAAUUUUAUAUUGUAUUGAAAGUGCCUGGCAAAGGCUUGAGCCAUAUCGUCCCAUAUGUACCACCUGCUAGCAUCUUGGCGGGUGUACCACUCCAGAGCUGCCCCACUCAGACUCUGACUAAAAUACGCCAUCAAUAAUUUGUCCUUCCCAUCGACGCCUCUCAUUUUACUACAGUAGCCUCUCAGAUGGGCCACAGUAUUUCCAUGUCUGUCAUAUAAAUGAAACUUCGGCAUCUUAAACCCAGCAGGCAGUUGGAUGUCAAGAAACAAGCACAAGUCUUUGUAGGCCACGCUCAUCUGGUUCCCUAUCCCUUGCAUGUUUCUUAAAGAUUGCUCUAAGAUUUUCACCUUCCUGGAUAUCUCAUCUUGCUCCACUAUCUUAGCAGGCUUUUCAAUUUCACCGGGAGGCUCAAAAUGAGGAGCGUGAGAGUAUGGAUCUAAGAUUUUGAAAGUUGGUUAUGGAGCGUAGUAUUGGGCAUCAGGGACUUUGAACACAGUCUUGUUAGAGGAUCGAGGAAAAGUAGCUAGAUGAGGAGAUACAGGAGCAUGAGUGGCCAAAGGAGCGGGAUAUGAGGUGGUUUUGGCGGGUAGAGUGUGAAAAGGUUGUGGGGAGAUAUCAGCAGCGGUGAGAAUUUGGAUUUGUGAUAGUGGUAGGAUAAUUGUAGGUUUUUCAGUGUAGUUAGCAAGGAAUGAAGGUGGAGGAUGCCUCCUGAUCCAAGACUGAUACAUUUCUGACAUCUGCUGUUUCAACAUUUAGACCUCUCCUUUCAAUUCAGACUCCGACUCCACAAACUCCCUUGACGGGUCAACAACUCAUGUGUCUAAGUCUUUCCUAGUCAUGACUACCUUGCUCUUUGACCUUGUGUUGUAUGGAUGGGUUAACAGUUUAAGAACCACAAACCAACCACUCUUCUGCUAUAAUGAGGAUAACAAAGAGGAACAAAAUAAAGUCAUCAUGUUAGCGCUAGGGCAUUUAACAACUAAAAAUAUCACAUUACGUGCAAUGAACCUAGCAACAAUUAACGGUUCAAGAAUGACUUUAAGGGUCACAAGGUCACUUGGCAUCAUCCCAAUUUGUCCAUUUGAAUCUUCUCUUUUCUUUUCUUUUCUAACACUUCUUGGCUUGCUCAUUUUCCUUCCUCUUUUUUUUUUCUAAUCAUCACUCUUUUCUUUCCUCUCAUUUCUCACAUCCCAUAAUUUCACAUUUUCUUUUUGUUUAUUUCCUUUUUUUCUUUUUCUUUUAAUUUUAAUAAAAUCAAAAAAAUGAUUCGAUUGAACCCUAUGUAGGUUGCCUACGUAUCAUGACGCCGCGUGAAUCAGAUCUUUGCAUAGUUCGGGAAGAUCGGGAAUAAAGUAAACAAACUAACGUUCUCUUUUUUUUUUAUCUUAAUGACUACUCUGAUGAGAAAAAAGAAGAAAAUCUCGCUCUUUUUUUAGACUUAAUAUUCUAUAAUCUAUUCUAAACUCAAUAUUAAACAAGCAUAUAUUUCUUUUUGUUUUUUUUGAAACAGAUACUCUAUGAGAAAUUAUUAAGGAAAAAACCCAACAAGAGAAAAGUAUUUUUUUCUUUUUGUUUUAGGAAGGAAAUCUAAAAAAUAAACCAAAGAAAUAUAUUUUGAUUUUCAUUUGAUAUCUCUGAAGAAAGAUUUCGUAAAGAGAAAUGAACAAGAUAAAAAACAUUUGGAUUUCAGUUUUGAUUACCUAAGGAAAAAACUUUAAAGAUAAACAAAAGAUAAGAUAUGUUAUUUUCUUCUAUGUACAAUGUCCUAAAGUUCUAGUAAAAAUAAAAGAAUUUUUUUCUAUUCAUUUUUCAUUAAUUUCGCAAAGAAGAACCUCAAAAGAAAAUCUUUUUGAAUUUUUGGAAUUAAUACCUUAAAGAAAACUUUUUAAAGAGGUACUAAAAGAAAUUUUUUUUUUUUUUGAAUUUUUAGUCUAAUGUACUAAAAGGAAGUAUAAAAGUAAUUUUUUAUUUUGAGUUCUAGAUAUUAAUUCAAUAAAGGAAAACCAUCUCAAAUUAAUUUUUUUUAUUCCUAGAAUUAGUAUUCUAAAAAGAACUUCUAACAGAAAUAUAAAAACACAAAAUUUCUUUCUUCUUUUUUGGAUUUUUGAUUUAUAACACAUUUUUUUCCGAUACAAAAUAGGAAAUACAAUAACGAAAGACUCAACAUUACUGUACAAAACUAGAAGGUAAAAGACGACGUAAAAAGAAAAAAAGACUCAAAACAUGAAAAGAAAAAUCUCCUUAAGCAACUCCUGAAUGAGCGAUCCUGUCUGGAUGGUCCCGAGGUGUCUAUCAUGCUCAAACUUCAGUAAGUAAAUCCACACCUGUAUGAGAAAACUGAAACCAACACUAUAUGAGACAAUAAUAUUCCCUACUAGACACAUGCAAGACAUGGUUGAGGCUAUUUUUGCAAAAUGGCUUAUGUGACCAAAAAGGUGGCUAGAAGUGCAAAAUUUGGCUAAGAUCCCGCAAAGCCAAGAGCCUAAGAUUCACUAGGAAGACCGGACCCUAUGUGGAUUGCCUACGUAUCACGCCCCGAAAAACGAGAAUCAUGUAUGCGUAGUUCAGGCAGAUUGGAUACGGGCGACAAUUAAAAAACAACCAAUUUAGAGAAAAUAUGUUUUUUUUGUCUUUUUUUUUUUGAAAAAUGAGGAAAUAUGUAAACUCUUUUUGGAUUUUCUUUUCCCUUUUUUUUGAUUUUUUUGAUUUUCGGAAAAUGAUGAAAAAGUGCAAAAUCUUUUUUUUUUGAAUUUUUCAUGUUUUCUUUUCUUUUUCUUAACAAAAAUGUGAAAGAAAACAUAACUGGGCCCUACUUGCUUUAUUUUCACACUUCACCCUCUCUUUUUUCUUCUUUUUUUUCAUUUUUCCUCAAUUAUUAUUAGUCCGCCAAAUGACCCUUUUACCCUUGAAGAUUGCCACAUGUAGCACAUAGGAUGCAUCAGGAUGGUCUUUUAUUUUUGGGUACACCUGUCCUAGACGAACCCAACCCCUGUGUUGAGUCCCCAAAGUUAAAUGCACAUGAUGCAAACAAACGUGCCUACUAGGGUUCCGGCAUGUGGUUAUGUUAUUCUAAGUUUAAAUCUGGGGUUGUGUUAUUGACCUGACUUACCCGAGCGGACUACUCGAGCCAAAGAGGGGGCAACGUACCGGGAGCAUGAAAGUCUACCCGGCCUUAUUGUUGGCCCAACCUCGUUCUAUUUGGUGUAACUUCUAAUAGAAAAAGUGGGUCAGGCGAACGUGUGCACCAUAUUUAGAAGACUUAGAGGGGUGGCGUAAGAAGGCAUUUUAAUACAAUUCAAACAAUAUUGAAAUCGUAAAUAAACAUCAAUUAGCACAUUAGGUUCACAAAAAUACAGUAAUAUUAAUAAUAAAUAAAGCCAAAUAAAAUCAUAUUAAAAAGCUCGAAUUCUUGAAUCCUAAAUUAUAAGUUCUGAGUUCUUAUCCGCAGCAGAGUCGCUAGAGCUGUCACACCUCCUUCUUACUACCCCGGAAGGGAUAUAAGGGAGUUUUUUUUCCAAUUUAAGUGACAAUCGAAACGGUAUUAUUUAUUUAAAAAAUCAGAGUCUCCACUUGGGAUAAUUUAUGGUGUCCCAAGUCACCGGUUUAAAAUCCCAAAACGAGGAAGUUGACUCUUAAUCAUGGUCUGCGAACACAGAAAUUUGGGUAAAGAAUUCUAUUAACCCGGGAGAAGGUGUUAGGCAUUCCCGGGUUCCGUGGUUUUAGUACGGUCGCUUUGAUCAUACUUGGCUUAAUAAAAUUGUCUAAUUACUCAUUUUAGAACAUAUGUGCAUUUACCUUUUUUAAUUAAGACAUUAUCUUAAAACAGGUCACGCGCACGUGUACCCAUUUAUUUGGCACGUCAAAAAUCAUGUCACGCGAACAUGUCCACAAUUAAUAACGCUUUGUUAUUGUUAAGAAAGUUUAGUCGAAGUUGCGCGAACGCAUACUCCGGUUUUAUUUUUAGGAUCGUAAUUAUGUCACGCGAACGCGUACACAAUCACGAUGAUAGAUUAAGUCACGCUUAAAGCAAGCUGCGAGGUUCAUGAAUUAUUUUACUAACUACUUCGAGAUUACGCGUGAAAGGUCUAUGAUUAUGGAGCACAUUCGCUAAAAGAUAUUUCAUGCUCGUAUUCUUUUUACCUUUCAUUUCUUGCAUUCAACCCAGCCCAAUUCCUAAUUAUGUGAGCAAUUUUAAUCAUCAAUGGGCUAGGCAUUUCAAAAUUCAGAAAUUUAGCACGUGCUCUGUCCUUUGUCACACAAACACACGAGUGAAGAGAAUGAUAACAGAAUCACUCGCACAUAGAGAUUCGGAGAAAGAGCAAUAGAAAACCAAUUGACCACAAUAGAGAAUUGACAGAGCUAGGAGGCACUGAUAUGAACCAAACAUGAAAGGACUGAAAGCAGAGACGAUGUAAGUGCGUAAAUCACAAAUAAUGAUUUAUACAUCAUAUCCAUUGCAAUUUACCAAAUAAUCUCUCUUUAUUCACUUUCCUAACACUCUAGGUAUCAGUCAAAUUUAUACUUACCCAUUAAUAAAAUCAGUUGAAAAACCAAACUGCAAAAUCCUCCAUUUCGGUUCAACAAAGCAUGUGAUAUUGAAUUCAAGAAUUAACUUAACAUGUACACUCCAAUUCAUUUCAAUCAAAACAAAACAAUUAAUAGUAAAACAGUGAUUCACUUAAACCAAACUCACUGAAAACAAGCAUUAUAAGAUAGAGAAUCCUUCAAACCAGAUCAUGUUCUAGAUUUAAUAAUAAAAUCAAACAUUAAACAAACCAAACCAUAUUCUUAUUGCAUGAUCAAAUAGAAGAAAUGAAGCUUGAACCAACUGACCGGAUCAGGACCAACGAUGGCAACCUCGAAACGUCAAUAACUGGCUCCAAACAAAUCCCACAACGAGUUCCAAAAUGGACUCAAACUAACGAAAACUUCAACAACAGAAAAUGAGGCUCACGACCACCCAGAGAUUGAACUGCAAAAAGGGAGGAAACGAGGGAUCGAGAGAAGGAACGCUGAUUUUGACUGGAACUUAAGAGGCCAUGAAGUAUGAAAACUCUGAAAUUGCAAGGCUUUUCCGGCAGACAGGAAAUAGGGAAAAUUGUUGGUUCUCUGCUUCAACGGUUAGGACUUGCCGCUGCUUAAGAUUAACGAAGAUGGGGGAGGGCGUUCUUGGUCUUGUCCGCUGAUAGUUCUAGCUAGGGGUCCUUUUUUGGUUCUUGCUGCUUCAAGAAGAUCGAUAGGGGGGGGGGGUCUUGGUUUGAUCGAAGCGGCCGAUCUCUUCGGUCUAGGGGCAUAAGGUGUAU